CUGUUCGAGCGUCAUUAUAACCACUCAAGCCUGGCUUGGUAUUGGAGUCUGCGGUCUUGCAGCUCCCAAAAUCAGUGGCGGUGCCGGUGUGGCUCUACGCGUAGUAAUUAUUCUCGCGAUGGAGUUCCCCUGGUUGCUUGCCAGAACCCCCAAUUUUACAGGUUGACCUCGGAUCAGGUAGGGAUACCCGCUGAACUUAA
rnacentral:misc_RNA from 1 species